rnacentral:rRNA from 1 species
GAUCAUGGCUCAGGAUGAACGCUGGCGGCGUGCCUAACACAUGCAAGUCGAACGAGCGAGAGAUGAAACCUGGUGAUUCUUGAGCGAGUGGCGGACGGGUGAGUAACGCGUGGGUAACCUGCCUUACAGAGGGGGAUAACAGUUUGAAAAGACUGCUAAUACCGCAUAAGCACACAGUACCGCAUGGUACAGGGUGAAAAGAUUUAUCACUGUAAGAUGGACCCGCGUCUGAUUAGCCAGUUGGCAGGGUAACGGCCUACCAAAGCGACGAUCAGUAGCCGACCUGAGAGGGUGAUCGGCCACAUUGGGACUGAGACACGGCCCAAACUCCUACGGGAGGCAGCAGUGGGGGAUAUUGCACAAUGGAGGAAACUCUGAUGCAAGCGACGCCGCGUGAGUGAAGAAGUAUUUCGGUAUGUAAAGCUCUAUCAGCAGGGAAGAUAAUGACAGUACCUGACCAAGAAGCCCCGGCUAACUACGUGCCAGCCGCCGC